ensembl:misc_RNA RN7SKP35 RN7SK pseudogene 35
UCUUUUCUGUUGCUGCAUGUUUGGUUGAAGAGGGCAUCCAUCCAAGUAGGGAAGGGAGGAUAUUGUUCUGUCAAGGGCAUAUGAGUAGCUGUGUUCCUCUGCUGAGAUCUCCAAAGCAAUUCUAUUUGUAGGAGAACAUGGGUAGUAUGGU